UACGGAGGAUGCAAGCGUUAUCCAGAUUUAUUGGGUUUAAAGGGUGCGUAGGCGGAUAUGUAAGUCAGCGGUGAAACUCACAGGCUCAACCUGUGCCGUGCCGUUGAAACUGUGUAUCUGGAAUGCGGAUGCUGUGGGAGGAAUGUGUAGUGUAGCGGUGAAAUGCAUAGAUAUUACACAGAACACCGAUUGCGAAGGCAUCUCACAAAGCCGUUAUUGACGCUGAGGCACGAAAGUGUGGGGAU
rnacentral:rRNA from 1 species